CCACUCCCCACAUUAUUAGGUGUCAAUGAUAAAUAAAUCUUUAUGUAUAAAUCUUUUGCCUUUUACUAAAGAUUUCUGUGGAAAGGAACAUUUAUGAGUUUGUAAACAAUUUUUUUGAGGCUGGGGGCAAACAUCAU
ensembl:snRNA U5 U5 spliceosomal RNA